rnacentral:sRNA from 1 species
GUUUCGAAGAUCCAAAAACUCUUAGUCUCUAGCGAGAAGGUAAAUUAACAGCCAAAUAGUGAUCUGUAACGAAGGUUCUCUCAAGUCGCACGGGCCAAAAAUCAUGAGUUGGAACGCUGGAGGCCUCGAUGAUGCCCAUUGGAACGACGGUGGUGAUAAUGACAUGACAUGGAAUCCUCCAGGGGACAAAAUCGAGUUCGAUACUGGAGAUUUCGGUGGAGGAAAAGAAUUUGG